AGUAGUGAAGUAAUAAUACAUUUAGUUUCGACCUAAAAAUAAGAGAGUAAAUCUCCUUACUU
rnacentral:tRNA from 1 species